rnacentral:rRNA from 1 species
GCCUGGGGAGUACGGCCGCAAGGUUAAAACUCAAAUGAAUUGACGGGGGCCCGCACAAGCGGUGGAGCAUGUGGUUUAAUUCGAUGCAACGCGAAGAACCUUACCUGGUCUUGACAUCCACAGAACUUUCCAGAGAUGGAUUGGUGCCUUCGGGAACUGUGAGACAGGUGCUGCAUGGCUGUCGUCAGCUCGUGUUGUGAAAUGUUGGGUUAAGUCCCGCAACGAGCGCAACCCUUAUCCUUUGUUGCCAGCGAUUAGGUCGGGAACUCAAAGGAGACUGCCAGUGAUAAACUGGAGGAAGGUGGGGAUGACGUCAAGUCAUCAUGGCCCUUA